rnacentral:rRNA from 1 species
AUUGAACGCUGGCGGCGUGCCUAACACAUGCAAGUCGAGCGGUAACAGGUGUAGCAAUACAUGCUGACGAGCGGCGAACGGGUGAGUAAUGCUUCGGAAUCUACCUUAUGGUGGGGAAUAACUAGCCGAAAGGUUAGCUAAUACCGCAUACGUCCUACGGGAGAAAGCAGGGGAUCGCAAGACCUUGCGCCAAAAGAUGAGCCGAAGUCGGAUUAGCUAGUUGGUAGGGUAACGGCCUACCAAGGCGACGAUCCGUAGCUGGUCUGAGAGGACGACCAGCCACACUGGGAGUGAGACACGGGCCAGACUCCUACGGGAGGCAGCAGUGGGGAAUAUUGGACAAUGGGGGAAACCCUGAUCCAGCGACGCCGCGUGUGUGAAGAAGGCCUGCGGGUUGUAAAGUACUUUUAGUGGGGAUGAAAUGUGCAGGGUUAAUACCUCUGCAUUUUGACCUAACCCACAGAAAAAGCACCGGCUAACUCUGUGCCAGCCGCCGCAGUAA